UUUGCAGAGCAGUGAGAAGAGGCAGGUCCCCAGCCCUCCUGCCCUCUCUGUGGCUGGGAGGUGGCUGCACCUGAGCUGUCAGGUUCCCAUCUGGGGUGCGGGAGAAGCCGUGCUCAGGGAGCGUGGGCUGGAAUCAUUUCUGCUCCCAGGAAUCUGCAUCACCUGGCUGUAGCAGAGCCCAGGGAGGAACACUCCUGGCGUCCAGGAGUGUGUCCAAGAGCUGGGCACUGCUGCUUUCUGAGCUCAGUUCAGCUGAUUGAACAGGACCGACUGCCACGAAGCGGCUGAAACACGCAGCUGCCUUUUGGAGAGUAUUUCAGGACUGCUUCUGAAGCCUGUUUGUGUCUGCUACUUAUCCUCAGCAGCUGAUUUGCAACUUCACUGCUCUGCAAGCAACCACUGAUUAUCCUGUGAUUCUUCUUCUCAUGAUUAACAUUCUAAGCCUUAUUUUAAAGAGCAGAAUAGAGCAAUCAUCACAAAGGAAUCGCUGUGGUAAUCCUGAGAAAAUGCAUAUGUGUGACUGGGUCACCAUGGAAAUGGAAGAGAAUCAAAAUAGUGCUCCUGGAAAAUUUGGAAAGAGAUAAACUGUUAAAAGACUUAUCUAGAUCUCUGUUCUAGGAAAUAUUUUCUAGAAAAUCAAUCCAGAAUAUCUAUGUGGAAGUUUUUCACUAUUUAAUCUCCCUUUCUCAGAGUGUGCUCUAAUUAAAGAUUUGCCUUCUUUUCCUCUA